rnacentral:rRNA from 1 species
AGAGUUUGAUCCUGGCUCAGGAUGAACGCUGGCGGUAUGCCUAACACAUGCAAGUCGAACGGUGUCUUCGGACACAGUGGCGGACGGGUGAGUAACGCGUGAGAAUCUGCCUCUAGGUUGGGGACAACAGUUGGAAACGACUGCUAAUACCGAUGUGCCGUAAGGUAAAAGAUUUAUUGCCUGGAGAGGAGCUCGCGUCUGAUUAGCUAGUUGGUGGGGUAAAAGCCUACCAAGGCAGCGAUCAGUAGCUGGUCUGAGAGGAUGAGCAGCCACACUGGGACUGAGACACGGCCCAGACUCCUACGGGAGGCAGCAGUGGGGAAUUUUCCGCAAUGGGCGAAAGCCUGACGGAGCAAUACCGCGUGAGGGAGGAAGGCCUUUGGGUUGUAAACCUCUUUUCUCAGGGAAGAAGAUCUGACGGUACCUGAGGAAUAAGCAUCGGCUAACUCCGUGCCAGCAGCCGCGGUAAUACGGAGGAUGCAAGCGUUAUCCGGAAUCAUUGGGCGUAAAGCGUCCGCAGGUGGUUUUUCAAGUCUGCUGUUAAAGACUGGAGCUCAACUCCGGAAAGGCAGUGGAAACUGAGAAACUAGAGUUCGGUAGGGGUAGCAGGAAUUCCCAGUGUAGCGGUGAAAUGCGUAGAUAUUGGGAAGAACAUCGGUGGCGAAGGCGCGCUACUGGACCGAAACUGACACUCAGGGACGAAAGCUAGGGGAGCGAAAGGGAUUAGAUACCCCUGUAGUCCUAGCUGUAAACGAUGGAAACUAGGUGUGGCUUGUAUCGACCCGAGCCGUGCCGUAGCUAACGCGUUAAGUUUCCCGCCUGGGGAGUACGCACGCAAGUGUGAAACUCAAAGGAAUUGACGGGGGCCCGCACAAGCGGUGGAGUAUGUGGUUUAAUUCGAUGCAACGCGAAGAACCUUACCAGGGCUUGACAUGUCGCGAAUCUCCUUGAAAGGGGAGAGUGCCUUCGGGAGCGCGAACACAGGUGGUGCAUGGCUGUCGUCGGCUCGUGUCGUGAGAUGUUGGGUUAAGUCCCGCAACGAGCGCAACCCUCGUCUUUAGUUGCCAGCAUUAAGGUGGGCACUUUAGAGAGACUGCCGGUGACAAACCGGAGGAAGGUGGGGAUGACGCCAAGUCAGCAUGCCCCUUACGCCCUGGGCUACACACGUACUACAAUGGUUUGGACAAAGGGCAGCGACCCCGCGAGGGAAAGCGAAUCUCAUCAAACCCAGCCUCAGUUCAGAUUGCAGGCUGCAACUCGCCUGCAUGAAGGAGGAAUCGCUAGUAAUCGCAGGUCAGCAUACUGCGGUGAAUUCGUUCCCGGGCCUUGUACACACCGCCCGUCACACCAUGGAAGCUGGUCACGCCCGAAGUAGUUACCCUAACCUUUCGGGGGGGGGGACUCCUAAGGCAGGGCUAGUGACUGGGGUGAAGUCGUAACAAGGUA